GCAAGUCGAGGGGCGAGCGGGUGUAGCAAUACAUGCCGGCGACCGGCGCAAGGGUGCGUAACGCGUGAGCAAUCUGCCCGUAUCGAGGGGGAUAAGCGAUGGAAACGUCGUCUAAUACCGCAUAACACCAAUGAUGGCAUCAUCGAUGGUUGAAAGCUUCGGUGGAUACGGAUGAGCUCGCGAGACAUUAGUUAGUUGGCGGGGUAACGGCCCACCAAGACCGCGAUGUCUAGGGGAACUGAGAGGUUGGUCCCCCACACUGGAACUGAGACACGGUCCAGACUCCUACGGGAGGCAGCAGUGAGGAAUAUUGGACAAUGGCCGGAAGGCUGAUCCAGCCAUGCCGCGUGAAGGAAUAAGGUCCUUAAUGGAUUGUAAACUUCUUUUGUACGAGAGCAAUAAGUGUCACGAGUGACACGAUGAGAGUAUCGUACGAAUAAGCAUCGGCUAACUCCGUGCCAGCAGCCGC
rnacentral:rRNA from 1 species